CGGGCGUGGAUUAGGCAUGCAAGUCGAACGGUAUAAACCUUUCGGGGUUUAGAGAGUGGCGAACGGGUGAGUAACACGUAGGUAAUCUAACCCUCAAAAACGGGGACAACCCAGGGAAACUUGGGCUAAUACCGGAUGCGUGCAAACAAUGUUUGGCUGUUGUAAUUAUUCACGGAAGUGGAUAGUUAUGAGAGUUUCAGAGCAUAAUUUGCAUAAAAGGGUGGCGUAAGCUGCCGUUUGAGGAUGAGCCUGCGUCCUAUUAGUUAGUUGGUGAGGUAAUGGCUUACCAAGGCGAUGAUAGGUAGGCGGCCUUAACGGGUGGUCGCCCACACUGGGAUUGAGAUACGGCCCAGACUCCUACGGGAGGCAGCAGUCGAGAAUAGUCUACAAUGGACGAAAGUCUGAUAGUGCGACGCCGCGUGAACGAAGAAUCCUUUCGGGGUGUAAAGUUCUUUUCUAUGUGAGCAGUUCCUUUUAUAUGAAGAGUAUAGAAGGUGGGAUUUAAGCAUAGGAAUAAGCAACGGCUAACUCCGUG
rnacentral:rRNA from 1 species